rnacentral:rRNA from 1 species
UACGUAGGGUGCGAGCGUUAAUCGGAAUUACUGGGCGUAAAGCGUGCGCAGGCGGCUCCUUAAGUCAGAUGUGAAAGCCCCGGGCUUAACCUGGGAACUGCGUUUGAAACUGGGGAGCUGGAGUGUAGAAGAGGGGGGUGGAAUUCCAGGUGUAGCAGUGAAAUGCGUAGAUAUCUGGAGGAACACCGAUGGCGAAGGCAGCCCCCUGGGCUAACACUGACGCUCAUGCACGAAAGCGUGGGGAGCAAACAGG